AGCUUGAGCGUCCUGGGGACCUUCUUUCCCAUGAGAAGGAAGAUACGGAGGAAAACAGGUUUUAACAGAUCCUGUUAAUACUAACAGCCAAGGUUCACUGAGCACUUGCCGUAUUCCGGGAACCAUGCUAAGGGCUUUAGGAAUCAUUACCUCAGUAAAUCCUCAAAAACAAAGUGAAAUACAAAGCCCAGAUGGAGGGAGGAAGCUUUUGUUUUGGCCACCAGCAAUUUCUUUCUCAGAGGGUUUGUGUAGAAGAAUGCAACAGGGAGGUGGUGAUUGCUGG